UUACUACUCCCUCCGUUCCGAAUUACUUGUCUUGGAUUUGUCUAGAUACGGAUGUAUCUAGACUCAUUUUAGUGCUAGAUACCUCCGUAUCUAGACAAAUCUAAGACAAGUAAUUCAGAACGGAGGGAGUAGUAU
rfam:Triticum aestivum genome assembly, contig: Triticum_aestivum_CS42_TGACv1_scaffold_375009_5AL